UACGGAGGUUGCAAGCGUUGUUCGGAAUUACUGGGCGUAAAGGGGGCGCAGGCGGUUCGCCAAGUUGAAAGUGGAAGCCCGGGGCUCAACCCCGGAUUGUCUUUCAAUACUAGCGAACUUGAGUUUGGGAGAGGAAAGCGGAAUUCCGGGUGUAGCGGUGAAAUGCGUAGAUAUCCGGAGGACACCGAUGGCGAAAGCAGCUUUCUGGCCCCGAUACUGACGCUCAUGCCCGAAAGCGUGGGGAGCGAACAGG
rnacentral:rRNA from 1 species